rnacentral:rRNA from 1 species
GACGAACGCUGGCGGCGUGCUUAACACAUGCAAGUCGAACGGAAAGGCCCUGCUUGCAGGGUACUCGAGUGGCGAACGGGUGAGUAACACGUGGGUGAUCUGCCCUGCACUUCGGGAUAAGCCUGGGCAACUGGGUCUAAUACCGGAUAGGAGCCAUUUUUAGUGUGAUGGUUGGAAAGUUUUUUCGGUGUAGGGUGAGCUCGCGGCCUAUCAGCUUGUAGGUGGGGUAAUGGCCUACCAAGGCGGCGACGGGUAGCCGGCCUGUGAGGGUGGACGGCCACAUUGGGACUGAGGUACGGCCCAGACUCCUACGGGAGGCAGCAGUGGGGAAGAUUGCACAAGGGGCGCAAGCCUGAUGCAGCGACGCCGCGGGGGGGAUGACGGCCUUCGGGUUGUAAACUCCUUUCGCUAGGGACGAAGCUUGUUGUGACGGUACCUAGAGAAGAAGCACCGGCUAACUACGUG